rfam:Cladophialophora psammophila CBS 110553 aczJe-supercont1.9, whole genome shotgun sequence.
UCUUCCUUGGUCUAGUGGUCAUGAUUUCCGCUUGUCAUAUCGUCAUCUGCGUAUGCAAGCGCGGGAGACCGGGGUUCGAUUCCCCGAGGGAGAG